UCACAAUGACCAAGUUGGGUCAUCCACACAUGUAGGAAUUGAUGAGCUGCUGGUGAGGACCUCAGCUGGAAUUCUGCCAUGAUUGAGCUCUCUGUGAAGGCAGACCAUUCUCACAACAUGUUGGCUACAUUCUAAUGGUAGGCAUCCUAAGAAAGAGAGCCAGAUAGAAUCCAGGCCUCUUGUGACUUAAGCCUUAGAACUCAUACAACAGGUCCUGGAGUCAGUGGAAGAGCACUUGCCUACAAUGCACAAGGUCCUGGGUUCAAUUCGACACUACCAACCAACAACAGCAAAAACUAAAGGCUUCUCAGAUAGCUGCAGAAGUACAGAAAAUGCAGAGCAUGGCGAAGCUGAGCUGUAAUUCAGAAGCCAGGUUCAAGAAAGUGCCAGCAUAGAAUCUCUGAAAACCACUAGAAGCUCCUGGGAAGAAAAUUUCGCAGCUGAGAGUCAGGCCUUCAAAAGGGCUGUUUCCCUAGAAAUUUCAAUGGGUGCAGAAAACCACUGUCACUGAUCACUCGGUGUCAGAGUGAACCAAAGGAGUUUUGCUUUCAAAAUGGAAAAGCCUUUGAAAAUGCCUUCUUCAAGCUAUGGUUUCCUUCUUAUGCCCGCAUGAGGAUGAUUCUUGAAAAGGAUGCAGCAGUUAAAGUGUAGGACAAACUCUUUCCUCAAGAAUGGAGUCAAUGUAUCAAUGAUAAGAACCCA
rnacentral:lncRNA from 1 species